rnacentral:tRNA from 1 species
GGCCCAUUCGUCUAGUGGCCAGGACAUCGGCCUCUCAAGCCGGAGACUGGGGUUCGAGUCCCCAAUGGGCCA